UCCGCUUGAUGUACACAUUCAAACCAAACCAGACUUCAGUUCAACCGAACCCAGACUGAGGUUUGGACGACCAGAGGUCAGAGUUAGCUUAGCGUUCACACCUAGCGGCGGCGCCCUUGGUGAACAACCCCACCGGCGCCCACUUUCCCUCACUUUCUUCUUCUACUAAGAUCCAAUUAGCAUUAUCUGCUGUUACUUCAGCCGUUAACUUUUUGUUUUCUCCCAGCAGUUUCUCUAGAAGCUCCAUCUGGUCCGGCGUUCUGUUUUAGCAGUCGGCUAACAGGAAGUUCUUAAACAUAGAAAGAUCUCCUGGUUCUGUUCUGCUGCUCUGUCUUCUCAAACCUCCAGAUGGCAGCUGGUACUGAGCCAGGUUCUGGUUCUGGUUCUGGUUCCUCUCCACUUUCACCCACUGCUGGCCGGGAGGACAACGACUCGAUGCUCUGCUGAGUUUCCUCAGAUUGAAACUUUUUAACCUUAUUAGAAUAAUAAACUAACGCAUUAACUGAUAACUAGAUUAACUUGAAAUGACUUUCUUUGUAAAGUGUUUUGAGCCGCCAUUGUUGUGAAUUGUCGCCAUAGUAACAAACUGAAUAAAUAUACAGUAGAUUUUAUUCAGAUUACACCAAGAAAUAUCCAAUCAGUUCUGAACUGAACAUAAACAGGUUCAUGUAAUCAGUCGAGUAAUUUAAUUACAAAUCACCUUAUUUUCCAGAGAUAAAGACAAAUAAAGAUAAAACGUGGAUAAAUGAACCUUAAUAAUGAAUAUUUAAUAAGUAGCAGAAAAGUUAGAACAUUUUCCAGGUUGACCUGCAGAGAAACGUCCUGCCGUCGCCUCUCCAUGUUGUUAGAAUAUACCAAGUUUGAAGCUCCUUGUUUGUUAAAAUUAAUAUUUUUAGAGGCUCAUAAUGACGACUUCAGAGGAGAGGUUGGUGAACAUCCCACAAUCAAAGGAAGUGUGUCCCCGACCUGUUUCCUGUCUCACCCUUCUACUCCCCUAAUUGCCCACCUGUGGGCGUCCUAAUUAGCCCUAAUCAGGAAGAGGAGCUCACCGGAGACCGAGAAGGCUGGGCGAGAAAGCAGACACCACAGAAGAAGAAAGAGGGCCGUGCUGCAGAAUCAAGAUGUCAAGCGAUGGCUGCAUGCAGAGAACCCAGCCUCACCUUUAUCCCGGACAUGAAAGAUGGCGUCCGACUGAUGUUUGUGGCCGUCGGAGUGGGACUGGAGCGGCUGACAGCUACGGCGCUGGAGCUGCUGCCGUUGCUCCGCGUUGCAUCACGCCUCGUCUUCGUUGGACUCCGACGGGUUGCUGCAGACUUGCAGAUAGAUUUAAAUGAGAUCCGUGGACUGACUGUUUGUGUUGCAGAACCGCAGGCUGUGUGUAAACACAGUGCUGGAUGUCGCCGUUCCGGCUGGAGCUGGAAUCCUUGUUUCACUUCGUUAAUUAAGGACAACGGAGAACCGGAUCAAACUUUCUGCUAGAGAGCGGACAGUUCUCAGCUCAAAGUAGCAAACGUUUUUCUGGUAUGAUGGGAUGUUAAUGCUGUUUACAUGCUAUUCCUGUUUUAGCUCAGAAUUAGCAAACAUAUUUCUAUCUGCUCACUAACUAGGAGUAAGAUUUUGUUUAGAUAAUUUGUGUCUGAGCUUUGACUUCCUUAGAUGUUGCUUCAAUAUUUCCAAAAGUGCACCGGUCUCUCCUGAAGCAAAUCCCCCCUCACAGCAUGAUUCUGCCACUCCCGUACAUUACAGUUAGGAUGGUAAGCAUCCCAGUUUUUCCUCCAAAUGUAACAAAACCUUUUAUGUCCAAACAGUUCAUUUUACUUUCAUCAGACCUCCAAACACUAUUUGAUCUGAAUUCGUUCCCAAACUGUAAUCUGACUUUUUUUUGUUUUCAUGUUACGUAUCUUCAGUAUUAUCUAUGUUUUUAAUCCAGCUAGCUUGUGCAAAAAUGGAACAAAUUGCACAUCUUUCUGAAUUUUCCCCAUAAUUUGAAACACUCAGAUGAGAAAUUUUAGUUUUGCCUUUAUUGCUGCUCAACUUUGUUUAUGUUAACUGUUUUCUUGUUAAACUAAAACCUACGCACCUGACUGGGUCUCACAACUUUCAUCUGUUGCUCUUUAAUUAAAAAAAGGUGUUUA